rnacentral:rRNA from 1 species
GACAUAGGUCGCAAACGUUAUCCGGAAUUAUUGGGCGUAAAGGAUGCGUAGAUGGUUCAAUAAGUUACUGGUGGGAAAUCGAGGCUCAACCUCGUGGAAGUCAGUAAUACUGUUGAACUUGAGUGCAGGAGAGGUUAACGGAACUUUAUGUGGAGCGGUAAAAUGCGUAGAUAUAUGAAAGAACAUCAAUAUGGCGAAGGCAGUUAACUAUUCUGU